AACAGAGAGACGACUACUGCUUUCGUUUCUUAAAAAAGAAAAUGUGUUUAUUUUGUAUUGCGGUUUUGAUUUUUUUUUUUUUUAAUUAUUUGGUAAUGUUGUUCUAAGUUGUUGAUUGUGCAGUCUUGAAAGGAAAGUCCAAACGCAGCACCUGGACUGGACCUUCUUGUUGCAGUUUGCACUGCUUCCUGUCCAAACUAGAGCCUGGUUCUCCAUGUGGACAGCUGCGCCUGUGACUUCUUUUUAUUCCUCCUGUCCCCCUGGGGAGUGAUUAUGGAUGGAAACGGGAAGGAUGGGUUCACAUGGGAGCCUUGCCUGUCAAGAGAAGGAUUACCAGGAAAUGGAGGCUCCACGUGAGCCUGCGGGAUGACUCUGAGUUGGGGCUCCCCCUCCCGGCUAAUGGUAAACUUACAGGAUCGUCACGCCCUGCGAUGUUUGAGGCCCCCGGCAGCUGAGGUCCCUCCACCGGACUCAUCCCGCUGCCCCGGCACAGCAGCUCCAAGGAUGGCAGUCCGUGCCCUGCCCUCUUCGUCAGGACUUGGUGUGAUGAGAGGACUUGGGAAAGGACAAGGGAGGGGAACGGGAAGGGAGGGCUCGUAGGAGCUGUGAAAAGAAGAACACCCAGGAAACGGAGGCUCCACGUGAGCCCGCAGGAUGGCCAUGAGCUGGGGCUCUCCUGGGUAAGGGCAAACUUACAGGACGGGAGGAUCAGCGCCGGCGUCGAGGCGGCCGUUUCGCGGGAGGUGGACGGAUCCUGGCGCCCCUGCGGUGACAUUUGGGGCGCGACCUCUUCCUAGUUCGGCCUGGCAGCAGCAGACAGAUGGGCAGUGUGCCCCGAUGGAGGUGGAUCCACUUCC
rnacentral:lncRNA from 1 species